AUGUGGAAUGAUGAGCUCAAAGUUUCUGUUCAUACCGCCUCCUGUCACUAUAUUCUCGCUAAUGUAGUUCAUCUUUGCUUCGGUGUUAACUUUUGUUUAAUUUGUAUAGAAGGUGACCCCUACCAUAGGCAGACUAGUGCUAUUUGGAGUCAGGUUUCUGCUUUUGUGUACGGUAACUUAGGAAGACCCAUGAUGUGUAUGGGAGACCUGAACGACAUCUUGUAUGAUACGGAUGGUUGUAAUGGUAUGGUUAAUUACUAUCGUAUGUCUGCUUUU
rnacentral:rRNA from 1 species